UACGGAGGGUGCGAGCGUUGUCCGGAAUUACUGGGCGUAAAGGGCGCGUAGGCGGCGCGAGGAGUCAGCGGUGAAAGCCCGGGGCUCAACCCCGGGUCGGCCGUCGAUACUCUCGUGCUUGAGCACUGUAGAGGCAGGUGGAAUUCCGGGUGUAGCGGUGGAAUGCGUAGAGAUCCGGAAGAACACCGGUGGCGAAGGCGGCCUGCUGGGCAGUAGCUGACGCUGAGGCGCGACAGCGUGGGGAGCAAACAGG
rnacentral:rRNA from 1 species